AGGAAAAGAAGGAAGUGUUUCCCUUUACGGAGGGGCUCCCUUCUUUGCCAUUGCCUUUGGAGAUUUCUUCAGCAUUUGAGAGCAGACUCUCCAGGUUCCAAUACGGACUCACACCGGUGAUUCAACAAUGAGCUUCCAGGCCUUCAACUGUGCUACUGGAUUCUCCAUGCGGCAUGCAAGACCCCUAAUACAGCUGUACAGCAAGGAAAGAAACCAGCAAGCCCAAGAUUGCUACAUACAACAGCAUGGAUGGAUCUUGAAUGCACAAUGUCUAGUGUAGGAAGCCAGACCUGAGACCUGAGAGCACAUGUGCCUUGUGAUUCCACAUGUGUGAGCUGCAGGGACAGGAGAGAUUUCUUGUAAUAGAAGCCGGAAGGGAAGGGAGCAUGACCCUGAGCAAACCAGCCACUGCUGAAUAAACAGGAACUGAGAAUUCAGCCAACAGAUGCUCCGUCUCUACACCAGGAGUGCAAAGAGUCAGCUGUGGAAGAGUGCAAAAGGGCUGUCUGUGUGCUGGAGAUCCGAAGGAUCCAGCUGAAGGUCUGGAACUCACUGCAGUGUCCUGUGUGAGUCGCUAUCAGGAGGCCACAGGGUCUGUGAUGCAAGCUGAAAGGUCUGCACUGGAAGCCAGGAGAUGACGUCCCAGGUGAAGGUGAAGACUGGAGCUCCCC
rnacentral:lncRNA from 1 species